ACGGCGAGUGAAGCGGCAAGAGCUCAAAUUUGAAAGCUGGCCCCCUCGGGGUCCGCAUUGUAAUUUGCAGAGGAUGCUUCGGGAACGGCCCCCAUCUAAGUGCCCUGGAACGGGCCGUCAUAGAGGGUGAGAAUCCCGUCUGGGAUGGGGUGGCCGCGCCCGUGUGAAGCUCCUUCGACGAGUCGAGUUGUUUGGGAAUGCAGCUCUAAUUGGGUGGUAAAUUUCAUCUAAAGCUAAAUAUUGGCCGGAGACCGAUAGCGCACAAGUAGAGUGAUCGAAAGAUGAAAAGCACUUUGAAAAGAGAGUUAAACAGCACGUGAAAUUGUUGAAAGGGAAGCGCUUGCGACCAGACUCGCCCGCGGGGUUCAGCCGGCACUCGUGCCGGUGUACUUCCCCGCGGGCGGGCCAGCGUCGGUUUGGGCGGCCGGUCAAAGGCCUCUGGAAGGUAACGCCUCUCGGGGCGUCUUAUAGCCAGGGGUGCCAUGCGGCCUGCCCGGACCGAGGAACGCGCUUCGGCUCGGACGCUGGCAUAAUGGUCGUAAGCGACCCGUCUUGA
rnacentral:rRNA from 1 species